CAGCGCCGCGGGAAUACGGAGGGUGCAAGCGUUACUCGGAAUCACUGGGCGUAAAGGACGCGUAGGCGGAUUAUCAAGUCUCUUGUGAAAUCUAACGGCUUAACCGUUAAACUGCUUGGGAAACUGAUAACCUAGAGUAAGGGAGAGGCAGAUGGAAUUCUUGGUGUAGGGGUAAAAUCCGUAGAGAUCAAGAAGAAUACCCAUUGCGAAAGCGAUCUGCUGGAACUUAACUGACGCUAAUGCGUGAAAGCGUGGGGAGCAAACAGGAUUAGAUACCCCCGUAGUCCCUGUCUCUUAUACA
rnacentral:rRNA from 1 species